CCGGACUGGAAGGAUACGAGGGUUUAUAACCCCUGCAGGACCUGGGCCGCCCUGUCGAGGGAGCCUGUCUGAGGAUGAAGUCUCGUCGACAUGGGAAAAGAUGAAUUCUUGGCAAUAUCUGAGCCCUGGAUGCAGCCCUCUGGGUCACCGGACUUCCUCUGGCUUUUUCCCUACAUGCUCCCCCUGUUUUAUUAUUUAGGAAUUUUGAGCUGUGUUUUUGCCAUUAGUGACCAGAAGAGCCUCAGAAUGAGAUACCUAAUGUGUGUCCAAGAGGAGCUUAGGUAUUUAUGUCUUGGCAAGUAGGGCUGGAGGACGGUUCAAGUCUGAAAUCUCAGCUGCCACUGCUAAGACGAUGACCUUCUGACUGUCUUUUAUUUCACCGUGGAAACAUCUGGCAGUGGCUGGGACCUGUCUCAGCUCAUGGGGAACCCCUGGAAGGGGGUGGCGUCUUUGGACAACUCAGCACCCCCCCACCCCCUGCAAAGAGAAAAUAUCCGCUAUUCUUUUUCCCAGGAAACAGAAACAGGCCAGAAGAGGAGAACCGGGUUGAGCUGAACUCGAUCUGUUAUUUUGAGUCAGAGAAUCCUGGCUUCUUCCUGUGAUAGGGGAGGAGGGUCUGAAGCUCCUGUCCAGGAGUGGCCAAGGAAGAAGUGGAAGAGGAGACUUUUGGGGGGACGGAAUCCAAGAGGGGGAAUUGGUGCAAAGGGUGCCCUAUUACCAUCCAGUCCUGUCCCCUGACCUGCAAAAUACUCUGCCUUCUCCUCCAGCUAGGACCUUCUCUGACGGAUACUGUGGUAUCCAUACUGUCGUUUCCAAAAGAUGGUCACAGCCAUAUUUCAAAUCUUACGCAUUCUUCCAGAACCUCACUGCAGCCUAGUCAAGAGGCGGAGUCCAUUUUCCUUCCCUUAAGGACAUUGUGUGACGUUGUGAUAACCUCAUCAAAUGGGAUGAAGCAGAAAUGACGCCGCACGAUGUCCAAGACUAGGUCCACCUGACUCUCUCUUUCUCUUGGACACUCACCCUGAGAACCCAGGAGCCAUUUUGCAAGGAAGCUCAGGCUCCACGGAGAGGCCCCAUCUAGAUGUUCUGGCUGACAUUCCCAGCUGAAGUCCUAGCCAAAAGCCAGCAUGAACCGACGGACAGCCCUUGUCCUCACAGCCGUGAUGAAGGAGCCUCACCUCCUGCGGUCACCUCGGACCCUGCAGCUUCCUGCCGACACCAGUUUUUGAGGCUCUGAGGUUAUCAAACGCUACUGCAGUAAUGAUGCCUAGCUCCACUGCCUCCUGCCCGAGUGACCUGAGGCAGGCUGACCCACCUCUCUGAGCUCCGUGUCCUGAUGGGUGAAUGAGGACCGAUGAGAAGGCCAGCUUCAUGGGGCUGUCGCCAACCUUGCAUGAGAUGAUCUACGCAGACUGCUUCGAACUGCGCUGGCACAGAGUCAUCAUGUCAGCAUUGGUGAACCCUGGUUCUCCACCUUUCCUUCCCUUCCCUCCUGGUUUCCCCCUCUCCCGCCUCCUCCUUCCCAGCCUCCACAAUCCUCUAGGGGACACCAGCCGUGAACCAGGCACUUUUCUAGGCGCUGCCCAUCUCCAGAACUGUCUUAAGAAUGGCAUGUCCCAAACGGGAAAGCACUUUGCUCUAUCGGGUCUGAUCUGUCGUGGAGGAGGAGAGGUGAUAAAUUCGCACAGGCUUGUGGUGACUUCUCUUUCAGCUUCCUCUCAUCUAGGGUCAUUAAUUUCGAGCCUUGACUGGGACUUCUAUCAUCUGUGGCUAUAGUGACAUUAAUUGGAUAUUCUCUAACCUCCGUCCCUUGCACACGAGCGUCAUAAUGACUCUUAUUUGCCAUCGCCACGUACCACGUACAACUAGGCUUUAUUUGAUAUUGGGUUUUGAAUGACUCAUUUCCUUAAAUGUAGAUCGAACCUUAACUGAAGCAGUACUCUCCUGAGACCAGGAGUUAGAUGGGUACACAGUAAACACGUAGCUGGUAAGUGGAAUCAAAAAAUGUCCCCCUCCCUUGCCCCAAAUCACCCUCUUUGGUACCAGAUCCCGACAGCGGGCUGCUCUACCGGGCAUCGCCCUCUCACCAUCCAGCUGACUAGAAACCUCCAAUUCGUCGGUUCAUAUAUAUCAACUUCUAUCUACCUUUCCCAAGCCGAGGGCUUGCUGCCACCCGUGGCUGUAAUGGCCUUAAUUUGACAGCACUAACUUCAUCUCAUCACCAUCAUUAUUCCUUCUUUCCACAGCCACAUGCCAAAUACAAGUAUGACUCAACAUUUUGUUUGGGGUUCUUCUUUAUUUAUUUAUUUUUUAACUUAAUUUUAGCUUCAACAUAAGCAACAAUGUUUUUGAAAUCACGAGUUCGGUGGGCUGGUUACAUAUUUCUCUUUAGCAUCCCUUGACAUGAACCCUUAGCUAUUAAAUAAAAUAUGUUUAGUCAUUGGCCACCCAAGGGCAUCUUCACGUGUGCCAUAUUCUGACAGGGGCUGCUGUCCCAAGGAUUGCCCUAUCACCAUUCAGCGGGUUAGAGAAGUCUUCGGAUUUAUGGUUCCAUAUUUACUGAGCGGUAGCCCAUUUUUUCCAAGUCUUGAGGUCCAUAGAGGCAUAGGGAGGUCAAAGUUCUUGUCUGGAUUGACACAGUAAACCCAGAAACCAGAAGUCCUGGCCCGUGGAUUCCUCCCUGAGGCCGUGGGAGGCCCAGCUUUACUCUGACCUAUCUUUUGGCUCAUUAAAAGCACAUAUUCAGCUCCUUUGCUUUUCCAUCCUUAUCUGUCUCCUCCCUGGCACUCAAAGACACAAAAAGGGUUAACAUCCAUCUCCCACUCUUCUUGACACAUGCCAUCCUGGGUUCCCGUGGGUAAUCACCAGCUUCCCUUGAGCAAUGACCUUGCCCCCCACCAUGGGGGCUAUCAAGAGACAGAUAUAAACACCUCAAAGUUCCCAGCGAGUCCCCUUA